rnacentral:rRNA from 1 species
AGGAUCAUUAUCGUAUAUAAACUUGAACAGGCUGCUGCUGGCUCCCCUCUUGAUUGGGGGUGGGUGUGUGCACGCUUGUCUCAUCUUUAUUAUUUCUCCAACAUGUGCACGUUUUGUAGAUCCCUGGAGCCUUUUUAUGAAUGUUCUCAUUCGAGUGGGGACUGCUGUUGCCUUUUUUUCUUUGAAAGGCCGGCUUUGCCUUUUCGCCCUUGGGGUCUAUGUCAUUUAUCACAACCUCUCAAACGAGUUUAGAAUGUCUAUUAUGAAAAAGUGAAAUAUACAACUUUCAGCAACGGAUCUCUUGGCUCUCGCAUCGAUGAAGAACGCAGCGAAAUGCGAUAAGUAAUGUGAAUUGCAGAAUUCAGUGAAUCAUCGAAUCUUUGAACGCAUCUUGCGCUCCUUGGUAUUCCGAGGAGCAUGCCUGUUUGAGUGUCAUUUGACUUAUCAACCGCUUCAUCUGAAGUGGCUUUGGAUUGUGGGGGUCUUUGCAGGCUUUUUUCAUCUAAAGGUCGGCUCCCCUGAAACGCAUUAGUGGCAUCUGAGCUGCUACUAUAGGUGUGAUAAAUUAUCUAUGCCUUUGGUAUGCUGCAUGAACGGAUUGCGCUGCUUACAACGACGAACUUGACAAACUUGACCUCAAAUCAGGUAGGACUACCCGCUGAACUUAAGCAUAUCAAUAAGCGGAGGAA